rnacentral:rRNA from 1 species
AGCGAACGCUGGCGGCAGGCCUAACACAUGCAAGUCGAACGGUGAAGCGCCUUCCUUUUUGGUGGGUGUGGAUGAGUGGCGAACGGGUGAGUAACACGUGAGUAACCUGCCCCCUUCUUCUGGAUAACCGCAUGAAAGUGUGGCUAAUACGGGAUAUUCUGGGUCUGUCGCAUGAUGGGUCUGGGAAAGAUAUUGUUUCGGUGGGGGAUGGGCUCGCGGCCUAUCAGCUUGUUGGUGGGGUGAUGGCCUACCAAGGCGGUGACGGGUAGCCGGCCUGAGAGGGUGGACGGUCACACUGGGACGGAGACACGGCCCAGACUCAUACGGGAGGCAGCAGUGGGGAAUAUUGCACAAUGGGCGCAAGCCUGAUGCAGCGACGCCGCGUGAGGGAUGGAGGCCUUCGGGUUGUGAACCUCUUUCGCCAGUGAAGCAGGCCUGCCUCGUUUGUGGGUGGGUUGACGGUAGCUGGAUAAGAAGCGCCGGCUAACUACGUG